AUGAUAUUUUCACAGUAUUUUGCAAUCAAGGCAGCAGCUGUAAAACCAAUGAAAAGUAGUCUUCACCUCCAUCAGAACCAUGAAGUUCAAGGAUCGUGUUGCUCCAUUUGUGUCAACGAUGUUGGAAAACCAUUGAAGAGAGUGUGACAAACGACCAGUUUGAGUGAGGCCAUUAACUGGACAUGUAAAAGGAAACUGGACACCUAGGUGGUUUACUGUCGGGAAACCAGUGCUUCCAGGGCUCUGCCACAGACAUGACAGGCGACCUUCGCAAGCUGAACUACGACCCCUGGAGCAGUCAAUUACAGCACCUUCUAAUGGCCUGUCGGCACUAAUGUUAUUUUAUUGCAAUUUAAUUAUGCUCGGGUUUCCAGUGAAGCCACUUCCUUUUAAAUAAUUCACAUGGGGUGACAAUAAUUUGUCAGUUUGAGAAAGAUUAAUUAGAGUUCUGAAAGUACACCUCUUGUUGAGUGUUAUUGUUCCUUUAGCACCACACUUCAGAAUUAUUCGUAGCAACUAAUUACCACAGUGAUUAAAAAGGCCUCUGAAAUAUAACGCAGAAAGAUUGGCUGUGCAUGAAACCAUGAAGCAGUCCUAUUUUUCUUUGUAUUCAUAUCGUGGGGUAAGCCAGGUAGUAAUGGAUAUCUCAUUGUUGUGAUCACAGGUGGUCACAUGUAAUUCAAAUGUUGUCUGAUGGUAGAUGUUACCACACUGCGACGGAUUGUGAGCAAACAGUGUACUGUAACAUGAUGCAUAGAGAUCGAAAGGGGACUGUGAUGUGUAAUGAUAUUGUCAUUGUUUAAAAUAUUUAUCAGUUUUAUUGGUGCACAGUACAUAGCAUAAAGAUUGUAAUGCAUUACUAUUUGUCACU